rnacentral:rRNA from 1 species
AACGAACGCUGGCGGCGCGUCUUAAGCAUGCAAGUCGAGCGGUAAGAUGGAAGCUUGCUUCUAUCCUAGAGCGGCGGACUGGUGAGUAACGCGUGGGUGACGUACCUUUGUGACGGGGACAGCUCCUAGAAAUAGGAGAUAAUACCGGAUACGCUGCAGCAUGUCAGAGGUGCUGCAGGAAAGGAUCUUUUGAUUCGCACAGAGAGCGGCCCGCGUACUAUUAGCUAGUUGGUGAGGUAACGGCCCACCAAGGCGACGAUAGUUACCCGGCCUAAGAGGGUGAUCGGGCACAUUGGGACUGAGAUACGGCCCAGACUCC